rnacentral:lncRNA from 1 species
CUUCUUCUGGUUAGAGGCUCCCAAGAGCAACAGGAAGGCCAGAAUAUGGGAAGCUGAUGAGGAUAGGAAACCCUUAGAAAUCAUACUGAGUCCCUGCUGAACCUCAGAGGCUGCAGGCCAACUGCUGUUCUGAAGUUCUGGACUUGCACAGCAAGCCUGUCUACUGAAUGGCCAUCACGACCCAGAUUUCACAUCUCCAGUGACUGCCAUGUCAACAAGGCAACUGUAGACCUCCCUCAGAGGAGGCAGGUGAAAGAAGACAGCCUUUCGGGGCAACUCUCUGGCUAAUGGGAAGCACAUUGAUGAAGGAAGCCGACUGACUUGAAAAAUCCAGCACCAGCAUGCAGGCUGCCUUUAAGGCUGGAGGAUUAUGGCCACUUGCAAUUUUCUUGCUAAUUAAAGUUUUCAUAGGAAAAGCAAACACAUAUCUACACAUGUAUGUAUGAACUUGCACGCUGAUUGUAUUUCAGAAGCAGUGGGCUGAAUGCUUUGGUUGCUGGCUUUCUUUGACUCCACCACUCACAUCUGCGCUGUGUCAUUGACAGCUCUGGCCAUGGCCCCAGGGCACUCUGCAGGGGUCAGAAUAAACAGAGAAAAACAGCAGUGGGGAGGACAGCACACUCUCUCCCUUGUUUGACUUGGAACUCCUGCCUGAGUCUUGCAAGAAGCAAUAUGUUGAAUUUUAAAAGAGGUGAAAACUACGUCAGUUACUGAGAGAGAAAUCUGAAAGAGCUAUAGCCUAUCUUCCUUUGCUGGGAUCUGGCCUGGGGUAUGGAGGCAGGUGCUCACUGCCACGGGAGUCCUCUGGAAACUGACUUACUUGGAAAGGGCAGGACUUCUCGCUGAAACAGUCUCUGCAGUUUCUCAAAAGUGGGUGGGGAUCCUGGGCCCCCAUAACAUGUCUACAUGGUUAAGAAGAAUGAGACAUCCAACCAGCAUUUAGGAUUGCAGAGAUUUGAAGGAGAAGCAGUUCAUUAUAGGAUCAUAAAGGGGCCCCCGUUCCUUGACAUGCUAACAUGGGAGCACACAGGUUCCCACACAAACCCCUAACACAUGGCAGGUGACUUGCAUAUGCACCCACACCUCCAUGGACAUGUCCAGGGUUAGGUUAGGUCAAAUCUAGGGAAUGGCAGCUGCAACCAAACCUAUGUCUCCUGCAUUCACAAAAGCGUGUCAGAAUGAAGGUAAGUUCCAGUAAUGUAACAGCAAAGGAACUCACAAUUAUCAUGCUUGAUUGUUUGUCACAGAUGAACUGUGAUGGUGCCAUCACAUCUGAUGGUGCCAUCUUGGAGGCAGCAGACCUGAUUUCCAGCCCUGGUCCUGGCUGUAACUUGGUGACCUUACGUAGGCCUUCUCGGAACAUUGAGCUCUUCAUCUGUGAAAGAGUGAGGUUGGGGCUGAUGGCCUCAAGGGCACUGGCAUAACUAACAUUCUCUAGGUCAAGCUCCUAUUGUACUUUGCAUCACUGGACAUGUCUGAGAUCCCUGGAAAUGAGGAUGUACCAGAAUUUCCAACUCUCUCGCUAUUCCUGCUGGGUCCUGCAACCCUUCUCCAGUGGAAGUUUUCUGCUCCCUUGAUUGCCAAAUAUCCUCUUAAUCUCCAUCCCUUCCCCCUAAUAUUCUGUCCUCAGGAAAGGAUGUGAUAAUUGUGUGCCCACUAAGUAUCAAUUACUAAAGCAGGAGGAAGAAUUACCUUUUAACAGAAUGAAGCUUUGAACCAAAGGAGUGAAGCCCUAAUUGCAUAAUUGCAGCUGGUGAGUUGAAGGGGAAGGUAUUUGGGAGUUAGGACCCUAAUUACAUAGAUGCCUAUCCUAUUGCUGAAGCCUAAAACGCUACCAUUAGCAACUAAGUUCUUUUACUAUUAAGGAUCUUCUCCCCACAAAAGCAAUGUAUUAAGAUUCAGCAGUCAUUUAAGGCCUUGGUAGGAGGGAGUUUUUUGGAUCUUUUUUUGUGUAUUUUUAAUACGGGGGUUCAGGGGAGGUGAGUGUGAAGGCUGGGCAGAAGGCUAGGUGGUUUAGCAGCUGGAGGAUGUAAGAUGAAUGUCCUGAAGGGGAAAAAAACAAAGGGCAGGCCUGGGAUUCCAGAAAAUAAGUUUCAUGUGCCCUACAAUUGUGAUGAGGGUCUGCCUUGCACUGGGAGCUCCCUUGCA